rnacentral:rRNA from 1 species
CCUACGGGAGGCAGCAGUGGGGAAUAUUGCGCAAUGGGCGAGAGUCUGAACCAGCCAAGUAGCGUGAAGGAUGACUGCCCUAUGGGUUGUAAACUUCUUUUAUAUGGGAAUAAAACGUUCCACGUGUGGGAUUUUGUAUGUACCAUAUGAAUAAGGAUCGGCUAACUCCGUGCCAGCAGCCGCGGUAAUACGGAGGAUCCGAGCGUUAUCCGGAUUUAUUGGGUUUAAAGGGAGCGUAGGUGGAUUGUUAAGUCAGUUGUGAAAGUUUGCGGCUCAACCGUAAAAUUGCAGUUGAAACUGGCAGUCUUGAGUACAGUAGAGGUGGGCGGAAUUCGUGGUGUAGCGGUGAAAUGCUUAGAUAUCACGAAGAACUCCGAUUGCGAAGGCAGUUCACUGGACUGCAACUGACACUGAGGCUCGAAAGUGUGGGUAUCAAACAGGAUUAGAUACCCUAGUAGUC